rnacentral:rRNA from 1 species
UACGAAGGGGGCUAGCGUUGCUCGGAAUCACUGGGCGUAAAGGGUGCGUAGGCGGGUUUUUAAGUCAGGGGUGAAAUCCUGGAGCUCAACUCCAGAACUGCCUUUGAUACUGAGGAUCUUGAGUUCGGGAGAGGUGAGUGGAACUGCGAGUGUAGAGGUGAAAUUCGUAGAUAUGGGGAGGAACACCAGUGGCGAAGGCGGCUCGCUGGACCGGAACUGACGCUGAGGCGCGAAAGCGUGGGGAGCAAACAGG